rnacentral:tRNA from 1 species
GGUGAAAUUGGUAGACGCAGGGGACUCAAAAUCCCCCGCAAGCGUGCCGGUUCGAUUCCGGC